UUCCAGUAAGCUAACUUUGUUACGACUUACCUCUUCUUUAGAAGAGGGUGACGGGCGAUAUGUACACCUAAAUUCAAUUUCGUUCUUAAUUUUUAUUAAAAAACUACUUCCAAAUCCUCUUUUAUUCACUCUUUAGAAAGAAGUCCUUUAAUAAAUUUAAUGAGUAAUUAGUUUUAUCUUCUUCAUGAACUUCACCUUGACCUGACUUGGUAAAUAAUGAUUGGGCAAAAGCUAAGAAUUUUGCCUUUAGACGGCGGUAUAAAAGAAAGAGAAGAAGAGAAAAUAAGCGGGUAAAAUCGAAUAAAAACAAAUUCCUCUGGUAAGAAAAAAGGCCGCCAAAAAGCAUAGGUUUGUGAAUUAC
rnacentral:rRNA from 1 species